rnacentral:lncRNA from 1 species
CUCAAGAGAGAUUAACUCACAAAUAUCAUAUAUCAAAAAUUGGUUCCGUUUUUCGUUCACAUGUUGCCAUAUAUAUAGGCAAACUAAAACCCUAAUCUAAAGAAGGAAAUAACGAAAACAAAGGAAACCCUAAUGUAAAGAAGGAAAAUAACGAAAACAAAGGAAACAAAUAAACUUGCUGAGCAAGUUUUGGCUACUCGGGCGAGAACGCCAACCUGGAAUACGCCCCUCUGGAAACGCCAGCUCUGUAAACGCUCGCUCUGCUUUGUUCUGAAAGUUCGCUCUGUCGGAAUGAUUCCUCUGCUCGGGACGAUUCCUCUGGCGGAACGAUUCCUCUGGCGGGAGGAUUCCUCUGUCGGAACGAUUCCUCCGGCGGGAGGAUUCCUCUGCUCGGGCGAGAUGACUUCGCUUCUCUGGAAGACUCGGCUUAUCUG